GGAGGAAUGGCAGAGUGGUCGAAUGCGGCGGUCUUGAAAACCGUUGUACCGCAAGGUACCGGGGGUUCGAAUCCCUCUUCCUCCG
rnacentral:tRNA from 2 species